UAUAGAUUGAUCAUGGCUCAGAUAGAACGCUGGCGGCAGGCCUAACACAUGCAAGUCGAGCGGUAACAGGAAUUAGCUUGCUAAUUUGCUGACGAGCGGCGGACGGGGGGGUAAUGCCUGGGAAUAUGCCUUAGUGUGGGGGAUAACUAUUGGAAACGAUAGCUAAUACCGCAUAACCUCUUCGGAGUAAAGCAGGGGACCUUCGGGCCUUGCGCGUAAAGAUUAGCCCAAGUGGGAUUAGCUAGUUGGUGAGGUAAUGGAUCACCAAGGCGACGAUCCCUAGCUGGUUUGAGAGGAUGAUCAGCCACACUGGAACUGAGACACGGUCCAGACUCCUACGGGAGGCAGCAGUGGGGAAUAUUGCACAAUGGGGGAAACCCUGAUGCAGCCAUGCCGCGUGUAUGAAGAAGGCCUUCGGGUUGUAAAGUACUUUCAGUCGUGAGGAAGGUCGGUACGUUAAUAGCGUAUUGUCUUGACGUUAGCUGCAGAAGAAGCACCGGCUAACUCCGUGCCAGUAGCCGCGGUAAUACGGAGGGUGCGAGCGUUAAUCGGAAUUACUGGGCGUAAAGCGCAUGCAGGUGGUUUGUUAAGUCAGAUGUGAAAGCCCGAGGCUCAACCUCGGAAGGUCAUUUGAAACUGGCAAACUAGAGUACUGUAGAGGGGGGUAGAAUUUCAGGUGUAGCGGUGAAAUGCGUAGAGAUCUGAAGGAAUACCAGUGGCGAAGGCGGCCCCCUGGAUUGAUACUGAAACUGAGGUGCGAAAGCGUGGGGAGCAAACAGGAUUAGAUACCCUGGUAGUCCACGCCGUAAACGAUGUCUACUUGGAGGUUGUGGCCUUGAGCCGUGGCUUUCGGAGCUAACGCGUUAAGUAGACCGCCUGGGGAGUACGGUCGCAAGAUUAAAACUCAAAUGAAUUGACGGGGGCCCGCACAAGCGGUGGAGCAUGUGGUUUAAUUCGAUGCAACGCGAAGAACCUUACCAGGUCUUGAUAUCCUGCGAACUUACUAGAGAUGGAUUGGUGCCUUCGGGAACUGUGAGACAGGAGCUGCAUGGCUGUCGUCAGCUCGUGGUGUGAAAUGUUGGGUUAAGUCCCGCAACGAGCGCAACCCUUAUCCUUAGUUGCCAGCACGUAAUGGUGGGAACUCUAAGGAGACUGCCGGUGAUAAACCGGAGGAAUGUGGGGACGACGUCAAGUCAUCAUGGCCCUUACGAGUAGGGCUACACACGUGCUACAAUGGCGCAUACAAAGGGCAGCGAACUGGCAACAGUAAGCGAAUCCCAUAAAGUGCGUCGUAGUCCGGAUUGGGGUCUGCAACUCGACCCCAUGAAGUCGGAAUCGCUAGUAAUCGUAGAUCAGAAUGCUACGGUGAAUACGUUCCCGGGCCUUGUACACACCGCCCGUCACACCAUGGGAGUGGGCUGCACCAGAAGUCAUUAGUUUAACCUUCGGGAGGGCGA
rnacentral:rRNA from 1 species